GGCUACGGCCGUGUGGCGCGUUGGACACACCGAUCCCUCGUUCUCGGAAGUUAAGCAACGUACAGUCCGGACAGUUCUUGGAUGAGGUACGACCGGAUCCUGUAGCCU
rnacentral:rRNA from 1 species